CCCGGCCAACCCUCGGUGACAUCUCCGACGAACCUUCGCACGUCCUCCACCUCCGGAGCAGCCACGGGGAACGCGCUGGUUUCCCGCGCCAGCAACGGCGGCGGCGGCGGCCUCCGAGCCAAGGUGAGGGCCGCCGCCAGCCUCUCCCGCCGAUCGCCGCCGCCGCCGCCGCCGCCCAGGGCCGCGUUCGACCCCUUCGACGUCGAUGCCGAUCCGCCGCCGCGACUGGAGUUGACGCCUGAGCAGGUCGGGCACUGCCGCGACGCACUCGCGCACUUCGAGGAGAAGAGGAAGAGGCUGAGUGACUUGUCAGAAGAUUUCGGAAGCCUCGAGGACAUGAGACUGACGAAAAAGAUUACUGUGGCUCAUUAUCCUGUUAAUAGGGAAAAGAACCGCUAUAUUGAUAUCUUACCAUUUGAUGAUACCAGGGUACAGCUGAAAUCCUCGACAGCCAGUCAGACUUCAAACAAUGGUUACAUCAAUGCAAGCUUCAUAAAGGCUACUGAGGACAACAGAGUUGCAACAUUUAUUUCUACUCAAGGUCCCCUGGUGAAGACAUUUGAGGAUUUUUGGGAAAUGGUCUAUCAAUAUCAGUGUCCUGCAAUUGUCAUGGUCACUCAAUUCGAUAGUUUUAAGUGUGAUAAGUAUCUCCCAUUGCGCAAUGGGCGAAGGGCAUAUGGAAAAUAUGAUGUUCAGAUUGUGAAGACAAGAUUAGAUAACCAUCAAUUAUGGCUGCGCAAAGUGCAGGUGGAAAACAAGGAGUCAGGCAAGGUUCAUUCUGUACUCCAUAUAGAAUAUCCUGAUUGGCCCGACCAUGGAGUGCCAACUAAUACUGAUGCUGUACGGCAAAUCUGGAAGCGACUACAUCACAUUCCAACAGAACAUCCAAUAGUUGUACAUUGCAGUGCAGGUAUUGGAAGAACUGGUACUUACAUCACCAUCCAUACUACAAUUGAGAGAAUCCUCCUUGGUGACAAAAGGUCUUAUGAUAUUGUUGAAACGGUAAAGAAUUUCAGAUCUCAACGACCUGGAAUGGUCCAAACUGAGCAACAAUACAAAUUCUGCUAUCGGGUGAUUGCUGAUGAGCUGAAAGAUCUGCUAAACUCAGGCCAUUGAGGUGGGUCGCGUGACUAUGCUUACGGCAACAUCACUCCAGAAGUAUUUAUCAUGAAGAACCACGCACAGAAGCGCUGUCUGUGUUUCAUCCUUGAACCUUUGAUUACUCUGAUGCCAGAUUUGUGCAUGCGCCAUUUUGUUGAAUGCCCUGCAUUGCUUCUUGCGAAUGGAGCCAUUGCAAAAAGACCACAAUUCAAACGAGGAUAUUAGAGUAGAUUUACAAGAAUGGAGCCUCUGAUUUGUGACUCAAUUGGUUGUACCUUGUUACAUGGAAUUCAUGUGAAUUGAGCGGUUACAUCACAAGCUGGUUGACUUGCACGUUUUAAUGCUAUGCAUAGACGUUUUACUGC